CCUACGGGUGGCAGCAGUAGGGAAUAUUGCUCAAUGGGGGAAACCCUGAAGCAGCAACGCCGCGUGGAGGAUGAAGGUUUUCGGAUUGUAAACUCCUUUUGUUAGAGAAGAUAAUGACGGUAUCUAACGAAUAAGCACCGGCUAACUCCGUGCCAGCAGCCGCGGUAAUACGGAGGGUGCAAGCGUUACUCGGAUUCACUGGGUGUAAAGAGCGCGUAGGCGGGAUAGCAAGUCAGAUGUGAAAUCCUGUGGCUUAACCAUCGAACUGCAUUUGAAACUGUUAUUCUAGAGUAUAGGAGAGGUAGGUGGAAUUCUUGGUGUAGGGGUAAAAUCCGUAGAUAUCAAGAGGAAUACUCAUUGCGAAGGCGACCUGCUAGAACAUAACUGACGUUGAUGCGCGAAAGCGUGGGGAGCAAACAGGAUUAGAUACCCGGGUAGUC
rnacentral:rRNA from 1 species